rnacentral:rRNA from 1 species
UGGGGAAUAUUGGACAAUGGGCGCAAGCCUGAUCCAGCCAUGCCGCGUGAGUGAUGAAGGCCUUAGGGUUGUAAAGCUCUUUUAUGAGGGAAGAUGAUGACGGUACCUCAAGAAUAAGCUCCGGCUAACUUCGUGCCAGCAGCCGCGGUAAUACGAAGGGAGCUAGCGUUGUUCGGAAUUACUGGGCGUAAAGCGCGCGUAGGUGGCUUUUCAAGUCAGAGGUGAAAUCCCCAGGCUCAACCUGGGAAUUGCCUUUGAAACUGUUAAGCUUGAGUACUGGAGGGGAUGGUGGAAUUUCUAAUGUAGCGGUGAAAUGCGUAGAUAUUAGAAGGAACACCGGUGGCGAAGGCGACCAUCUGGACAGUAACUGACACUGAGGCGCGAAAGCGUGGGGAUCAAACAG